rnacentral:lncRNA from 13 species
GCCAGCAGUGCAGACAGAGUUAACUUUAAGCCUGACUACCCCACUGGCUGUCCCAGAGACCCUCCUCUUGUCCUGACUUGUUGAUCGGCCAUGUUUUUUGGCUUUGCUGAAGUUUGUUUACCUUGGACCGUGCUUUCUCCCUGCAGUUUGCUGCCCUGGGCCUCUGGUUUGAAGUCCGCCGCCCAGUGGCCUCGACACUGUCACCUCGCCUCCAGCCACGGGCCAUACUCCACACGCCACCGACACUUUGGCCAGGAGGAGGGGAGAGAUGGCUUAAGCAUUCAGUUCAACAGCCAGCCUGGAUCGGCCUGAUGGACAACAGUAUUGAUAGUCUGGCUGACCUUUGUUCGACAAGCUGACAUUCCCCAUAUUUCACGGGCUGGAGCUGGAUGUGCAUCAAAGAGACUGUCAGGUCACCAAACAGCUAAUUAAAGCAAUAAAGAGUCAGGAAGACUAAAUGGCCCCUUUCUCCCUCGGGAGCCUAAGGUCCCUUGUAGGAACCUGUAUGUUUCCUUUUUCCCUGGAAGUGCAAUUCAAGAUGGAGAAGAUAUUGGGAAUUGUCCCAGCAAGCCUUCGGAUCAGAGAAAGACGAAGAAAGAAGACGCAAAGUUUUGAAAUUUUAGUUACGGUUCAUGGUACCAUUGAAGUAGAGAAGGAGGAAGUUGAGCCAAGAAGUUGUGGUUUCCAUUUUCUUCCUGAAGCAAGAUGCAAGAUGACCUCUGAGAGCAAACCAAAAGGCAAAAUGACCUUGGAGCAGAGGGAGGUGAUGGGGUACUGACACUCAGCAGAGCAGGGGUGGGAGAUGACCACAAGGGGCAGUCCUUUGAGUCUAUAGAGGAAAUCAUCAUCAAUUUUUACCAAUGGGUAACCUAAUGUUUUAGUGCUCUAAAAAGUUAUUUUGAGGCUGAGCACAGUGGCUUACAUCUGUAAUCCCAGUGUUUUGGGAGGCCAAGGCAGGCAGAUCACCUGAGGUCAGGAGUUCGAGACCAGCCUGGCCAACAUGGUAAAACUCCAUCUCUACUAAAAAUACAAUAAAAUUAGCUGGGCAUGGUGAUGCA